rnacentral:snRNA from 1 species
UUACUUUGGCAGUACAUAUACCACAAUUGGAACUGUACAGAGAAGAUUAGCAUGUCCCCAUGACAUGCAAAUCCGGGAAGCAUUCAGUAUGUUU